rnacentral:rRNA from 1 species
GAUGAACGCUGGCGGCGUGCCUAAUACAUGCAAGUCGAGCGAACAGACGAGGAGCUUGCUCCUCUGACGUUAGCGGCGGACGGGUGAGUAACACGUGGAUAACCUACCUAUAAGACUGGGAUAACUUCGGGAAACCGGAGCUAAUACCGGAUAAUAUAUUGAACCGCAUGGUUCAAUAGUGAAAGACGGUUUUGCUGUCACUUAUAGAUGGAUCCGCGCCGCAUUAGCUAGUUGGUAAGGUAACGGCUUACCAAGGUGACGAUGCGUAGCCGACCUGAGAGGGUGAUCGGCCACACUGGAACUGAGACACGGUCCAGACUCCUACGGGAGGCAGCAGUAGGGAAUCUUCCGCAAAGGGCGAAAGCCUGACGGAGCAACGCCGCGUGAGUGAUGAAGGUCUUCGGAUCGUAAAACUCUGUUAUUAGGGAAGAACAAAUGUGUAAGUAACUAUGCACGUCUUGACGGUACCUAAUCAGAAAGCCACGGCUAACUACGUG